rnacentral:snoRNA from 1 species
GUCGAUGAUGAAUAGUUUCGCUGAUUUUAUGAUGAACCGUAUGAGCACUGAGA